GAUGGAAAGCACCUCGGUUUUUGUCUCUGCUACCACCCAAUGGUUGACUGGUAGAAAAUGCCAUAUGGCAUUAAGUCCGCCAUUGUACAUUGUGCAAAAAGUAUAAA